CCUACGGGAGGCAGCAGUGGGGAAUAUUGGGCAAUAGGCGCAAGCCUGACCCAGCAACGCCGCGUGAAGGAAGAAGGCUUUCGGGUUGUAAACUUCUUUUCUGAGGGACGAAGAAAGUGACGGUACCUCAGGAAUAAGCCACGGCUAACUACGUGCCAGCAGCCGCGGUAAUACGUAGGUGGCAAGCGUUAUCCGGAUUUAUUGGGUGUAAAGGGCGUGUAGGCGGGAAAGCAAGUCAGAUGUGAAAACUCAGGGCUCAACCCUGAGACUACAUUUGAAACUGUUUUUCUUGAGUGCUGGAGAGUCAAUCGGAAUGCCGUGUGUAGCGGUGAAAUGCGUAGAUAUACGGAGGAACACCAGUGGCGAAGGCGGAUUGCUGGACAGUAACUGACGCUGAGGCGCGAAAGCGUGGGGAGCAAACAGGAUUAGAUACCCUGGUAGUC
rnacentral:rRNA from 1 species